AUUGAACGCUGGCGGCAUGCCUUACACAUGCAAGUCGAACGGCAGCACGGGAGCAAUCCUGGUGGCGAGUGGCGAACGGGUGAGUAAUAUAUCGGAACGUGCCCAGUCGUGGGGGAUAACGUAGCGAAAGCUACGCUAAUACCGCAUACGAUCUACGGAUGAAAGCGGGGGAUCGCAAGACCUCGCGCGAUUGGAGCGGCCGAUAUCGGAUUGGGGAGUUAGUGGGGUAAAGGCUCACCAAGCCGACGAUCUGUAGCUGGUCUGAGAGGACGAUCAGCCACACUGGGAAGGAGACACGGCCCGGACUGCUACGGGAGGCAGCAAUGGGGAAUUUUGGACAAUGGGCGCAAGCCGGAUCCAGCAAUGCCGCGUGCAGGAUGAAGGCCUUCGGGUUGUAAACUGCUUUUGUACGGAACGAAACGGCGAGCUCUAAUACAGUUUGCUAAUGACGGUACCGUAAGAAUAAGCACCGGCUAACUACGUGCCAGCCGCCGCAGUAA
rnacentral:rRNA from 1 species